rnacentral:rRNA from 1 species
UUUGAUCCUGGCUCAGAUUGAACGCUGGCGGCAGGCCUAACACAUGCAAGUCGAGCGGCAGCACGGGAAGCUUGCUUCCUGGUGGCGAGCGGCGGACGGGUGAGUAAUGCAUAGGAAUCUGCCCGGUAGUGGGGGAUAACCUGGGGAAACCCAGGCUAAUACCGCAUACGUCCUACGGGAGAAAGCAGGGGCUCUUUGGACCUUGCGCUAUCGGAUGAGCCUAUGUCGGAUUAGCUGGUUGGUGAGGUAAUGGCUCACCAAGGCGACGAUCCGUAGCUGGUCUGAGAGGAUGAUCAGCCACAUCGGGACUGAGACACGGCCCGAACUCCUACGGGAGGCAGCAGUGGGGAAUAUUGGACAAUGGGCGCAAGCCUGAUCCAGCCAUGCCGCGUGUGUGAAGAAGGCCCUCGGGUUGUAAAGCACUUUCAGUGGGGAAGAAAGCCUGGUGGUUAAUACCCGGGAGGAAGGACAUCACCCACAGAAGAAGCACCGGCUAACUCCGUGCCAGCAGCCGCGGUAAUACGGAGGGUGCGAGCGUUAAUCGGAAUUACUGGGCGUAAAGCGCGCGUAGGUGGCUUGAUAAGCCGGUUGUGAAAGCCCCGGGCUCAACCUGGGAACGGCAUCCGGAACUGUCAGGCUAGAGUGCAGGAGAGGAAGGUAGAAUUCCCGGUGUAGCGGUGAAAUGCGUAGAGAUCGGGAGGAAUACCAGUGGCGAAGGCGGCCUUCUGGACUGACACUGACACUGAGGUGCGAAAGCGUGGGUAGCAAACAGGAUUAGAUACCCUGGUAGUCCACGCCGUAAACGAUGUCGACUAGCCGUUGGGUCCUUCGCGGACUUUGUGGCGCAGUUAACGCGAUAAGUCGACCGCCUGGGGAGUACG